rnacentral:lncRNA from 1 species
CCCCCUUUAUACAAAAACUUUCGUUCAUAAAAUAGUCAAAAUAGUAAAGAUGGCCCCAAAGCCCAAAAGAUAUAACAUUCAAGUCUAAAGGCAAAGUCCACAACAUUAACUCACAGAAACGUUAGUUACAAACAUAAGUUGCUUUAGCAGGGAAUGGAGAAGGCAUGGAAACAUCCAGGAUCAUUCGGGAGAACGCUGCACUGGCCUUAAUAGCAAGCAUCAAAGUACAUGUUAACGCGAAGCCCCAAAAAAGGAGGUCGGAGUCGCCGCAACACUUGUCAGAAGCCAAACGGUGGGGGAGCCAAGGUCGAAAAGAGCCUUCGAUAAUCAACCUUAUCAGCCACCAAAGAAAAACCAAGUGUAAUGACACCAUAGACCAUCCAAAUUUAUAAUUGGUGAAGAUCUUGAAGAGUCGCAGUUGUCGCACAAUCAAAACAGGGGCUUCAUAUGCAAAAGGAAAAGGAAACAUAAAAAGAAGGAACAUCGAAGGCCAGUGGCUUACCGUCGUAUAGAGAUUGGCACAAGGGAAACGGAUGGGCCUGGAUAAGUCUCAGCACACCGAAAGAUAGCCGGCACAAGGAAGACUGUAGCAAACAGAGGUUAGAUGAUAGCUGGCACGAGGCCAGUCGCUCUAGUGAGCACAAAGGCAAAAGGGCUUGAAAGGGUUAGGGCUCGAGCGAGAUGUACCUCACUCGAGAAUUGAGAUGACUUCAAGUUACAAGGUUGGAACUUCUUCC